GCUUUCGUGGCCCAACCGGUAGAGGCGACAGUCCAAGGAACUGUCCGGUCCGGGUUCGAAUCCCGGCGAAAGCACCA
rnacentral:tRNA from 1 species